rnacentral:lncRNA from 1 species
GCUCUGGUGCCUCUCUCACCUUUGGCAUCUUGAGAUUGUUCUUUCUCAAAGUUGCCCAGUCAUAGUGGCACAUAGUAAUUCUUGGUGAGUUUAACGUGGGAGGUCACUCUUUAUGGUUAUGCUUCCAAAAUCUCUCGCUACAUCUGUUGGAUUAAAUCACUUUUCUUCUCAUUGUAUUGUGAAUAUAGUGGUUAUGUGCAAUUAAGUUACGUAAAACUAUUGUGGCUUGAAUUUGUUGCAUCUUUCCAAGUUUUGUCAAUGAUGAUUCUGUCUGCAAAAUGUAUGCUCUGUGGAUUCAAGCCCCUGUUUCAGGGAGAACCUCUUGAUGAAGCAGAUAUAAUAUGACAUCAAUUGACAAAUCUGAGACAUCUUGUAACAUUGUUUUGCUUAUUGCCUCGUUAUUUUAGUUGUUAAAUGUAUUGAGGUUUGUGACUUCUGAUUUUGCAACUAUCUUUAUUGCCUGAUACCUUAAACAUCAUUUUCUGAAGUUUUGACAAUGUUGAUUCUGUCUGCAAAAUGUAUGCUCUGUGGAUUCAAGCCCCUGUUUCAGGGAGAACCUCUUGAUGAAGCAGAUAUAAUAUGACAUCAAUUGACAAAUCUGAGACAAUAGUAUAGCAUUGUUCUGCUUAUUGCCUUGUUAUUUUUGUAGUUAGAAUGUAUUGAGGUGUUCUGAUUUUGCAACUAUCUUUGUUGCCUUAACCAUCAUUUUCUUAAGUUUUGCCAAUGAUGAUUUUGUCUGCAAAAUGUAUGCUCUGUGGAUUCAAGCCCCUGUUUCAGGGAGAACCUCUUGAUGAAGCAGAUAUAAUGUGACAUCAAUUGACAAAUCUGAGACAAUAGUUUGUGCUAGUGGAUUUAAUUGAGAUUUGAGUUUUUAUUUAGCUUCCUUAGUUGCAUGAUAUGUAUAAAUUAUAUAUCGUUUUCCUAUGAUGAUCCUGUCUGCAAAAUGGAUGCCCUGUGGACUCAAGCCCCUGUUUCAGGGAGAACCUCUUGAGAAAGCAGAUGUAAAAUGACAUGAAAUGACAAAUCUGAGAUUUUCCAUAUUGUGCUUCCUAGUAUUAUGACAUCAAUCGACAAAUCUGAGGUAUUCCAUGACAUUGUGCUUCCUGCUGAAGCAAAAGGCUAUGAUGAGAAAAGUCAUGCACCACUCUGAAGAGAUUCAUCUCUUUGUGCUGAUAAACAAACUUACAACCCAUUUUACAUCUGAGCCACCUCUUGGAUACCUACUUUCGUAUUUCUUUAUUUGCUUUUCAUGCCAUAGAUGGUAGUUUUUAUAAACCAGUUUGGGGAAAUAAUGUACAUUACCAGAUGAUGAGGGUUGCCCAAGUGCAAUCCUACCAUGAUGCGGACUGAAAUUUCAUUGAGGUCAAAUACAUUUGCCGCUGAUGGUUCUUACUUUACAAUCCCGCAUAUUUUGAAUGCCAGCGCAGUUCUUGGUAACUUCUUUCGUGAACCUUGUUGCAUUGCAUGUGAAUUACUUUGUUUUCUGUUGAUAUUUAUGUCUGCAAAAUAGGUGCUUUGUAGAAGCAAAGGCUAUGAUGAGAAAAGUCAUGCACCACUCUGAAGAGAUUUAUCUCCUUGUGCUGAUAAACAAACUUACAACCCAUUUUACAUCUGAGCCGCCUUACGUGUUUGUAUUUUCUGAUUUGUCUAUUGGUUUUUGAGAAACCUAGUAUUUUAAGGUAAUAACUGUAUUGGAGGGAUAAUAACAGAACCAGAUGAUGAGGAUUGCCUAUGAGCGAUCCUACCAUGAUGCGGACUGAAUUUACAUUGAGGUCAAAUACAUUUGCCGCUGAUGGUUCUUUCCAAUCCCCCAAAUCUUGAAUGGAUUUUCCCCUUGGUUUUCCAGUGAUGAUAAUGGCUAUGAUGAGAAAAGUCAUGCACCACUCUGAAGAGAUUUAUCUCUUUGUGCUGAUAAACAAACUUACAACCCAUUUUAUUUCUGAGCCAUCUCAUGACUUUUGUAUUUUCUGAUUUGUUUAUUGGUUUUGAGAAACCGUUUUCAGCUUUUGCCUUUGUGAGAAUACUGUAGUUUUGAAACUGUAAGUCUUGGAUAUUAACUGGAUUUGGAGGAAUAAUGUAUAGAACCAGAUGAUGAGGGUUGCCUGUGAGCGAUCCUACCAUGAUGCGGACUGAAUUACAUUGAGGUCAAAACAUUUGCCGCUGAUGGUUCUUCUUCCCAAUCCUCCAUAUCUUUCAAUGGUUUUUCCUCAUUGUUAUGAAUGUACUGGGAAUUUGGUUCAAAACAAAUGGAGUGGCCUCUAGUUUGACAACCUUGUUGCAUUGUAGAGGAAUGCUCAAGUCCCUGUUUUCACUGAAUUACUUGCGGUUUUGCCAAUGAUGUUUCUGUCUGCAAAAUGGACUCUCGAGCCCCUGUUUCCAGGGAGAACCUCUCGAGAAAAUGACAUCAAUCGACAAACCUGAGGCAUUGUAAAACCAAAAAACUUUUACUGGAGCUUGUAUUUCCUAAUUAAGUGUUUCAUCUCUUCUUUUUUUGACAAUUGUACUCGCCAAUCAUGCAUCAGCUUUGCUUACAUGUGGUUUCUCAAAUGUAUUUUCUUUCUCCUGAUUGCAGAAAGCCAUUUCAUGCGCAAAGAGCUGCUGAACCUACUGGAUGAUAUGAAGCAUAUGGUGCUCUCCUUCUGGAUCAUGAUUGUAGCCUUGUACCAAUGAUACAGAGGGAACAUUGUACUGUGAUCUGUAGGCUUGCCUGGUCAUGUUGGCCAUAGUCUCUUGUAAUUCUUGUGAGAAUUAUUGACAUGCACAUAUUUUAACUACCUCCCAUUUGUUGUUGUGCCUGAAAUUUUGGGGGCAAUCAUGCCUGAAGUGUGGACGGUUAGACCAGCACUCGAUAAAAUUUGUUUUGAUGCCCUCUUCUAUGAUCAAAAUGAGCAUUGUGGUGUAAGAUCACAUUUGUUGCACAUACAUGCGAUGGUCAUCUUAGCCCUUGCCUCAAACUUUUUUUUUUUUGAACGUAUAUGGUGCUUAAAUAACAAAACAGUUGAACCCAAAAAAUUGAACUAAAAUGGUGCCUAUUUUGAACUAAAACGAACUAAUCUUUGAUAGAGCUUGGUUUUGGGUUCAACUGAUAAUGUUGGACCUGGAGCUCGCCUUGAACCCAAAACUGAGUUGUCGCCUCUUCGAAUGUAAUGUUGGACCUGGAGCCGAGCAUGGUGCUUGGGGGAAGUUUCUCAUUUUUGGCAAGAGGGGCGUUUGUAAAUCCUGAAAUUUUAUUGAAUUCGAAAAUUUAGGUGGAGCGGUAAAUAAGUUAAAUCUAAAAAACGGUUUUUAGUGAGUUAGAACAUGAUUUGGGCCGUCGUGCGGUUGUGCUUUGGUGGUCAACGAUGGACACAUGGCGCUGCAACAAUGGUUCCGAUGAUUUGCGCAUCCUAGGUGGCCCAAAAAUGUUGGCCUUUAUCUUUUUGGGGAUUGAUGAGGUCUGUGCCCAAGCUUUGAACCGACUCAUGUCAGUGCCUGCAUUGGCGGUGCCUUUGGGUGCUCUCUUUGGAGGCAUUGCGGCUCUUUGGGUAAAAAGCUAAGCUCUGGAUAGUUUUCAGAGCGGGCGACGGCGGUGUCUUCAUCGUCUCCCCUUUAGAGGCGUUGCUUGGGAGAGCUAGUUUGCUUGUUGUGCGUGGUUUCUCCUUCGUCGGGUUUGGAGGAUGUCGGGGCAGUGGCCCCGGGAGGCUGAUGUGCGUCGAGGCUAUGGCCUCGGGCAAUGAUGUGGGGAGACGACUCCAUGAGGCGGGGUAAAGACUCAACCUUCGCUUGGGUGGCAGGUUUUUCGGCUCGGUCGACGCACCCGGUUUGACUUUAUAUCCGGGCGAUGGCUCCAGAUGUGGUGGGGUAGCAGUCGUGUUUGCGGGUGGUUGCCCUGAGCGGCUUGGGUUGGGGUGGUCAGGUCGUGUGGAGUGGCAACUCGAGGGCAAGCGGCGGCAUGUCGGGGUGGUGGCCGCGGAAGACUGUGUUGGUGAACCGCGCAGGAUGUGACAGCGUGGAUGGAAGUCGGGGUAGUGGCCCCGACCCCCGAGAGUUCAGCAACAUCGAUUGUGUUGACCCCAUGUCGCGUGGCGGCGCGGUUGCUCUCAACAUUGGUCGUCGACAUGUCGAACGUCACAUUUGGCGCAGAGUCCUAUGGAGGGCUUGCAUCUUCACCGCUGCAGGGGUGUCUCGUGUCUGCUUUUUGACAGUGGUGGGAGGCCGACUAGCAUGGUGGAGUGGGUCACCGUUGGUUUGAUUGUAAUUUGUUGGCGUGUUUCUGUGAUGUUUUGUCCCGCCGUUGAUGAGAGUGGGUGUGGCCCCAUUAUGUCUGUUUUUGAGUGGGCUUUCGCCAUGUGCCGAGAGCGGGUGCGGCCAUGCGGAGUCUUUGCUCGAGUAGGUUUGGUCAUGUUUGUAUCGGUUUUCACUAGAUUUUUUGUAAUUAACCGUGCAAUAUUUUUCUUCUUAGUUAUUUAAAUGGACAAACGCCGGAUGCGCGUUGAUUUAGCAAGAACAAUAUGCUUCUCUUCAGCUGCUCAACAAUAAAUAAAAGCGACGAUCCACCAGCACAAGCGGAUGCACGAGGCUAGCUAGGGAAUGCAAUGCAUGGAAGCUUCAUCGAUCAUCCGAGUUGCGUUUUGAACCGAGUUCUCCCCGCCCCCCAACGAUUUUCCUCCUCCGCCUCUCCCCGCUUCCAGAUGGCGCCACAUCGUACGUGCCUAUGCGCGCGCCCAAGUUCCCGACGGCCGGCGACGACGGCGCUCGCAUCCCGGUCCUGCUCGCCCUCGCCGCCGCCGCCGUCGUACACCCCGGGCGCGCGCUCGCCUCCGUCCCGCUGCGGCAUCAUGCUGGCAGACCACCCCUUCUUCCCUGGCUUCGGCGUGGGCGACGAGCGCUGCAGCCGGCCGUAUGGCGGGCACUACGAGGAGUACACAUCGCAGGAUUACACUCCGUCGGCCCCUCCGCCGUCGCCGGAUCACACUUCGCCGGGCCCUCCGCCGUCGCCCGACUACGCUCCCUCGUGCCCUCCGCCGUCGCCGGAUUACUCUCCCUCGGGCCCUCCGGCGUCGCCGGAUUACGCUGCCUCGGGCCGUCCGCCGUCGCCGGAUUACGCUCCCUCGUGCCCUCCGCCGUCGCCGGAUUACGCUGCCUCGGGCCGUCCGCCGUCGCCGGAUUACGCUCCCUCGUGCCCUCCGCCGUCGCCGGAUUACACUUGGUCACCAGAGCCUGCUGCUUGGUUCGCUUCCCCGGCGACGACGCCUUCUCCGCGACCCGCGUCCCCAGACCCAGAGUACACGCCGUCAGAGCACGCUGCUGCUGCAUCACCUUACUACACUUGGUCAACUCCUCCUCCGCACGCUUCUUCUCCGGAUUACACGCCCAAUACGCCGUCUCCGCCCCCCUGGUGCUGGUGCUGCUCUCCGGCGCCGAGUCGCGCGCGCCGCCGUAUCACACACCGCCGCCUCCUUCUGGCGGCGCCGCGUCGCCGGACUACACGCCCAGCAUGCUGCCUCUGUUGCCCAUGGUGUUAAUUAGAAGCCUUGUCGCCCACGUCGGCACCGCGUCGCAGCCACCAGAGGAGAUCAAUCGCGGCGGACGUCGGCGAGCCUUGGGAUGUUGGCAUCUUGUAAACUGUAAUAGGAGAGAAACAUAUUGACAUAUUGUAUUACUCUGCAUCAAAAGAUGAAUAUAUUGGUAUAGCUUUUGUUGAAGAUGCGAGAUUGUUCUCUUCUUUUGCUUCCUGUUUUUUAUGGCCGGAGCCCUUUGUUUCUGAUGGAUGCAAAUUGUAAUUGCCUACGUGAUUUGAUGAAAGUCAUCCUGGCACUUGUCAUGUUCUGUGACUGUCAUGUCUGAGAGAAGCAUAUGGUCGCCCUGCAAAGACAAUAGGGAUGCAUAAUAAUGAUGUAGUACAAACAAAUCUGUGUGGCUUGCACAUAAAAUUUCAAGUGAACAUCUCUCAAAAAAAAAUCCAACUGGACAAAAAAUUAGAUGAACCUUUUCCGAGUAAAGCAAGCAGCAUUGCAGAAAUGUUACUCAUACAUUAAAAAUCAAAAUUAUUUUAUGUAGACCUUUAUUUGGUUGUGCACAUAGCCAACUGAAAGUUUUAACAUAGACGCACAACAUUCUUCUCGGUUUCAUCAGAAUAUUUCUUUGCUCAUAGCGAGCCCGAGAAGGAAGCUCGAUCAUGUUCUCUUGGAAAUGCAUACUUUGUUAGAUAGUUCCUUACCUACUUCUUUCAAAUAUUGCAGCAUUUGUUUGGUCUCAUUGACAAGCAUUGUGUUUCAACCAAAGCAGCCACUUUCCCGCAUACUGGUACUUUCAAGUAUUCAUCGGUGGCCUCCAGAUUGCAGAACUUUUUAUCUAAAAUUUGUCUUCACAAUAACUGCACAACGCCCUGGAAUGCAUCAUGGUAAAUGUUUCUGGAUGAGAAUCCCAACAGCAGUAUAGCACUGAUCCUUCACGCUCUGUUCAUCUUUCUUUUGAUGGCUCUAGCUGGAGCAGAAAAAAAAACAUAGACGAGGAAUUAAGGUAAAUAUUUUUUUACAGGAGAGAUCGAGGCAUGUGCAAUGUAUUUUUACAGUCAGCAGUUCCUGGGAGAGGCACAAAACAUGCUUAAUAGCCCUGAAGUAAAAUCAAAUAGGUUUUUCUUGCAACGGUCGCUAAAUUUUCAAAAUGCAAAUGCAAGCAUUUAACUAAGAGCAAUCCUAGUUUUCUGUAACAUUAUGAAGAGAGAGAGAGAGAGAUCAUAGGUUAGUUGAAAUUUUAAGAGUGAACAAAAUAGUAAGUAUCAUCGACAGAGAGAAAAUGCAGUGCAUCAACUAUCUCACAGUUAUUAAACAAACUAUUUUAUAUCUGGUUUGUGUUGCACUCCUUGGUCACGCCUUCUUGUUGCAUAAAUGCAUAAACGCUGAGAUUGGGUAUUCCCAGAGGCAAGCAGCCAAGUACUUGGCCACAAACUUGGAUACUCUGAAUAGGCCUGAAUAUGUGAUGUGUAACAAAAAAGGGGGAAACUCAUAUGACCCUCAGGCCUCAAACUUGUCAUUUUAAUUUUGAAUGUGGCAUCAUCAAACAGCAGCGAUGAGUGGUACGAAGUUUAAAGCAUACUGUAUCAAUUGUCAGCUGAAAUUCUCACAAGGCUGGUACUUUACCGGAAGCAAUUUUAUGUGCUCCCUUAAUUUCCCUUUCCCCGAGAAGGGAGACACAAUUAACAAAAUCGUCGAAACAUCAAGUGACAGCUGUUUUGCAUCAAGUUUAGCCAGAUAAGUUGCAGCCUCUGCAACUGCACAUUUUUCCAGCAACACCCUGACCGCUUGAUUUAGUAGUCUGGGACUUAUGUUUUGAUCCUGUCCCUUGAACAACAAUGGGCGGCCCACAUUUCCUGGAAUCUAGUAGCACACAAGAUCUCUCGUGUGCGAGGCUCAUGUACCAAGCAAUUUUGUUUCCCCUUGACUGCUCAAAUCUGGAAGAGUUUUAAGCUUUUUGGCUCCAGAACAAUGUCAAAAUUCAUUCCUGUUGGUGUGGAGCCUUUUCAGAACAUGGUCUAGAGCAUGAUGCGAUGCCUCGGUGUAGCCUAUGGCAUGUCUUCGCACUUCCAGUAAAUCUUUCGCACCUCUUCAUGUCUUUGCACCACUGAGAAGUGAGAACAAACAUCAGCGGCUCAGGCAAACAGCGUCUGAAACUUCACUCUUCUCUUGAUGCUGCCAGAUCUUUCAUACCCAAUGCCUAUCUUACUAUGCACCAGCUUGACAGCUAGAUCAGUAUUCCCCGCUUUCCUGAGUGCGUUGAUCAUCAUUGUUCGAACCCUGCCAGGUAUCUCACGGCCCUUUCCUACGAUGCCAUCUGCCAAUUUGCAGGCCUGCUUGAAUCUGCCGGCCCUGCACAGAGCAUUGAUCAUGUCCUCGUGUGCCGUCUCAGGAAUCACACCCAUUGGAGCCAGUUCAUCCAAUAUCCUGCAUGCUCGGCUGUAUUUGCCAGAAAGACAUAGCCCGUUGGCAAGGGCCCUGAAAGCUGCAGCUGUGGGAGUGAUCCCCUUGUCGAUCAUCGCAUCCCACAACUUCAGCGCCUCCUCAUUCUUGUGUUCCUUGAACAAACCAUCGAUCAGUAUGGUAUACGUGUAAACAGUCUGAUCACAGCCAUCAUCUUCCAUUCUCUUGUACAAGGCACAAGCAUCAUCCGUCCUUCCUGCUUUAGCUAAACCAUCAAUCAGCACGUUGUAGCAAUAUGAGUCCGGCACAAAACCUUUAACUUUCAUCUCCUCGAAGAGCUCCUGUGCUUGGUCGACCAUUCCAGCUUUCCCAAAGCCAUCAAUCAGGCUUGUAUAGAAGAUAGGGUUCACUGCAAUACCUUUCUCCACACAACUCCUGAAACAUGAAAUGGCCUCAUCCAGCCUCCCAAACCGGCACAAGCAGUUAACAAUCACUCCAUAUGUGACGGCGUCGAGCUCAAGCCCGCUACUCUUCAUCCUCUCAAAGAGUGACAUUGCCUCGGUCUCCCUUCCAAAUUUACCCAUUGAAUCAAUGAGCGCAGUGUACAUGGCUGCUUUGGCUGGGCAACCACGCUUCAGCAUUCUCUCGAACACGGCCAUCCCCUCAAACGGCUUCCCAUCCUUGCAGAGCGCGCCGAUCACCAGCACAUAUGCAUGCUGCGGAAUGUCCUUGCCAAUUCCCCUCUCUUCCAUUUCUUGGAACAAUGCCACGCACUGUGAAAACGUGCCCUCGCUGUAAUGGCACUGCAUCAGUGUAAGGUACGUUAUCUUGUCGGGCGACAGCUCCUCCUGUUCCCUCAUGUGAUCGAGCCGAGCCAUCGCAUCCUGCACCCUCCCGGCGCGGCAGUACCCCUUGAUGAGAAUGUUGUAGGAGACCACGUCAGGGCGAACCGGGUCUUCCGUGGACAUUGCGUCGAACACGUUGACGGCGGUGUCAAGGAGGCCCGCGUUGACGAGGCCGUCGAGGAGGCAGUUGUAGGUGACCCUGGACGGCUCGACGCCGGCGAGGCGCAUGCCGUUCCACGCCCACAGCAGCUCGUCGGCGAGGCCGAGGGCCGCGAGGCUACGGACCAGCGACGCGGCCGACGGCGGCGUGAGGUGCCGCAGCAGGCCGUCCCCGUCCCCGCGGGCGCGCAGCUCGGCGACGAGCCGCCCCGCGUGGCCGGCGGCGUCGGGGGUGGCCUCCCUGGCGCGCGCGAAGGAGUGGAGCAGCGAGACGUAGCAGCCGAGGAGGUGCUGCGGGUGGGCGGCGAGGUCGUCGGUGCCGCCGGGCAGGGCGCGGAAGAAGCGGAGCGACGGGAGCGGGUGGGGCAGGAGCUGCGGGGAGCGCAGCGCGGCGGCGACGAAGGCCGGGGAGAGGCGCAGGAGGAAGGUGCGGCAGAAGGCGCGCAGGUCGGCGGCGAGCGUGGCAGGCGGCGCGCGGAGGACCAGGGAGACGACGCGCGGCAGCCACGGCGACGGGGUGGGCGGCGCGGCCGAGGAGGCGGUGUACGGGCUCGGGUCGGCGAGGUCGGUGUACGGCUCGAUCCACUCCGGCGGAGGGUGGCCGCCGCCGUGGGGGCCCGACGCCCGCCGGCCGCGCGGGACGCUGCAGAACCUUCGCAUCGCUGCAGAGGUGUUGGACGAAGAGAGCGUGGAGGCGUUCUUGAGGCUAGAUUUUGCUCUUUGUCAGUUGUCACGCUUACUUUUCCCAGGGAAUUUUCGCACAUAAUCGCAGCGACAACUUUGCUGGAUUGAAAAUUUUGUAAGGGGUAAUGUUACCCAUCUGACGUUCGCUGGGAGAGGGGUGGCAAGCGAACGCCAUUUGAUAGCAGUUGUAUCUGUGAGGAGCGAUCAAACGACGGCAGUUUUAAAUCGAAAAAUGCCCUCCAUGAAGAAAAUGUCUGAAGAAUCUGUCACCAACUAAAAAUACCAUCUAAAAUGUUUGCAAAUGCCACCCUCCCUGACGAACGUUGGCCGGUUAGCAGGAUACGUCCUGAAAGCUCCAUCUUCCUACCCUGGCGAAAUCGACCUACUGCAAGAGAAUUUUCAUGCCAAGAACAUAAUGUAAGUAGAGUAUAUCCGUAGCUUCAGUGCAAUCCACAAAAAAGGCAAUGAAGCAUCAUCUGUCAUGCGUGUAUGGAAGCAUUACAGAUGGUCAUCAGGCAUUCAGGCGCGAUGAUGCAAUCGUGCAACUGCACUACAUACUUGUCUCAACUACAGGAAAGGAAAGAGCAGCACCCGAACCAAAGACGGCGGGGUCAGAUGGGCGGCGGGUCGUCCCACUGCAGGACGGCGGUGUCGAGGUUCUGCUCCCGCUUGAGCUUGUCCUUGAGGAACCAGUCGCACACCCGCCCGGCGUUGAGCUCCUCGAUCGCCACCCCCUCCUGCUCCGAGAUCACCCGCAGCAGGUUCAGCGACGAGAUCUGACCAAUCCCUCCCAAGAAUCAUUCGUAUCAACACAUGCUAACCAUGAUGUUCUUAAUAAAAUCCAGGUAAACACAUGGCUGCAAACUGCAAACAACUCACGGUGAGGCGGCAGAGGAAGCGCUCGUGGGUGCUGAGCCCGGACAUCUCCACCAGCCCGGCCUCCUCCAGGCUCAGGAACGUCCUCUUCUCCUUCUCCUGCUGCUUCUUCUCGCCGUCACCGCUCUGCUGCUUCUCUUCCUGGCACCUCGUCCUCACCGCCGUCCGCUUUGACGCCGCCGCUCCCGCCCUCGCUGCGAGCGCGGUGGUGCACGCAGUCAGUCACGGGCACGUACUUGCAGGCACGAAUUUAAGCCGGUGCAGAGCGGCGGGUGGUCGACUAACCUGGACUGCAAAGGAAAGCUCGUCGGAGCGACGGCCCGGGCAGCGGGAGCGCCGCCCGCCGCGCUGCGUGGGGUUUGCACGGCGCCACCAUGUGGUGCUGCUGCUGCUGCAUGAUAGCUCACGAGGUUCCUGGCGAGGCGAGCCGGAGGGAGUCGGAAGACGACGACGAUGGGUGUCCGGUGCGAGCAGAUAACGUUCCAUCGCCACGUCCGGAUUUCCUACCCCUCUGACCGAGAACGCUCCGGAAGAAAAGAGUAAAAUGCAUCAUAAGUCCUAAAACUAUGGACGUGUGUCAAUUCAGUCCUAUAACUUUGAAACUGCAAUUUUAGGUCCUAAAACUAUUGGAGGUGUGUCAUUUUAGUCCUAUAACUUUGAAACUGUAGUUUUAGGUCCUAAAACUAUUGAAGGUAUGUCAGUUUAGUCCCAUAACUUUGAAACUACAGGCAAUGAGUGGCAUGAUGGCUUGAGCUCCAACGAGGAGAGUAGACUGGCCACACAGGUGAUGGACGUGCAUGUUGCAACACACAUUGUGACGUCAAAGUGUAUGGACCACUUCUGGGGAAGUAAACACAUAUAAAGAGCUCAUUUGAAAAAAUGCACCAUAGAUGCUAGCCAUGCAAGCUUAGGACCUGAGAUGAACAAACUUACAUAAUUUUGGGACCCAAAACUAUAGUUACAAAGUUAUAGGACUAAGCUGACACACCUUCAAUAGUUUUAGGACCCAAAACUGCAGUUUCAAAGUUAUAGGACUAAACUAACACAUCUUCAAUAGUUUUAGGACUUAUGGUGCAUUUUACUCGGAAGAAAACAACAAAUCCUGAACCAGAAUGCUUGAUCCACAACACAAGGCUAGCAGCCAGCCAGCCAGCCGCUGGCCCUGACCCCGAGCCGUGCAACCCUCAGUUUUACCAAACGAAGCUAAGUAACGGGUGACAGACACCGUUUGCAACAACUAGUCCAAUGUGAACACCUACUUUCACGAACUCACAAAUGAAUCGUAUUUUUUUUACAGAACAAAUCGGCGAAACCAAACGCAAACAGAAAGAAAUUUGUCGGAGAGAAAAGGGGCCGGAGGGUUUGCUAUACAUCGGGUGUGCGGCGCAUCAGGGCAGCUCCAACACGAAUCACCAAACGGACGGCACCAAAUGGUUGUGAACACGUCCGGACGUGUCCAUGGACAGCGCGCGGGUCCGAUCGGCCAUCCAACCAUAGGCACGAAAUGUCCGCCUGCUCGAUCUUUUUUCCUAUGCCUGGAGUAUUGAAAAUAACCAAACAUAAAUAGCACGAUUCUUCGGUGAUUCGAAGAUAAAUAUUCCGAUGCAACAAUAAUUCAAAUGUAAAUAUUGCAAUCCAAACAUAAAGUUCGGGAAUUAUUCCAGAUUUGAAUUCAACUUAUUCGAACAUAUGUUCUACUUGUCUCCUUGCAAUGCUCACAUAUGCUCAAUUUGAUCAUUUCGAAGUUGCGCAUAAGUUCCUCGAUGGCGAAUUUGGUAAUGCAUUUGGAGAAAACUUCAAAUGUCACCGUCCCCCCCCUCCCCCCCAGUUUGGUGCCAAAUCGUGGGAUUUCGAGCGUCCAAACUUUUUCGGACAAAUUAGGUGUCCCUCGUUGGAUGGCCAAAGGUGUCCGGACACUUCGGUCUAGACAUUUGCAGGCAAUUUGGUGAUCUGCGGUUGGCGAUGCCCUUAGCGCCAAUGCAAGGUGGCAUGAUAUAUGCGUGUACACCGACGUCGACAACACUCCUGUAGUUGCUGAUUUCAACGGAGAUGCUCGUGGGUGAAAAAAUAACCCUCGGCGCCACGAUGCUCCCCUCCCCAUCCUUCUCCGCGCCAGUUCAGUUUCUCCUCGGGAUAUUCGACUCAAUGUGAAAUGUCACUAAGGGCUAAGUGUUGAAGAGAAAUAGAGAUUUAAGUAUAUCAAGUGACUUAUAUUAAUGUCGAGUUGGGUAUCUAUAUCUCCCCGACAGGCAUGUACAUACGUUGGUUACAAUGAUUCCAUCUGUUCUAAGAGGCAUGAUGCCCCUUCAACAUCAACAACCUUUGGCAAAGCUGACUUAUAAGUAGUCAGUACAUAGGAAAUCCUAACUGCUAUGUUAGCAUAAAAGUAACGCUGACUUCUAACUAUUAAUAUUUCCUAACACUUCCCUUGGACAACGAUGUUUCUUAGCUUCACUGUCUUGAGAGUGCUGGAUCGUCUUGCCUUUUUAUUGAUAGUCCUUGCUCUUGAAACUUCACGAAUCUUUGAUCUUGUACUAGUUAAGUCCUUCAAAAUCAUGUGGGAAAAGUAUAAGGAGAACUAUAGAAAUUUGAUAUACCAUUAGUGUAUAAUCAAUUGUCAUAUUAAAACCUAUAUGAGAAACCCUUUGGAAAACUCAUAAGGAAAAUAGUACAAUACUUUAUUGACGAGAUGAUAAUUAAUAAGUUAAGUUCCAGGAGAUUUCUCCCCCCGAACUUUGCAAAUUCUGUAGUCAGCUCCUGCCAAUGCCAUGAUGCAUUUUUGAAAUGUUGUUGUUGGUAAAGACUUAGUGAACAAAUCUGUAAGAUUAUCACACGAUUUUGUUUGCAAAAUAUCAAUUUCUUCAUUUUCUAAUAAUUCAUGAGGAAAUAAUAGUUUUGGAGCAACAUGUUUUGUGAUACUACUUUUAAUAUACCCCAGAUGCAUUUGAGUAACACAUGUACAACAUUAUCCUCAUAGAUAAUGGUUGGUGAUUCUAAUGAGCCGAUACGCAUGAUGUUUGAAUAUCAUUGAUUACUCCGCGAAGCCAUGCACAUUCACACGAUUCUUCAUAUAAUACAAUUAUUUUAGAGUGGUUAGUGGAAGUUGCUACUAAAGUCUGUAUUGUUGACUUCCAUGAAAUUGCAGUUUCACCAUAUAAAAAUGCAAACCCUGUUUGUGAGAUGACAUUAAUUAUGGGGAUCAAAAAGAUAACCAUCAUCAGUAUAACCAAUCGGGGCCAUUUCUUGUUUUUUCCCCUAUAGAAUAAACUAAUAACUUUAGUACCAUGCAAUAUCUGAGAUAUUCUUUACUCCUACCAAAUGUCAUUUUGUUGGACCUGCGAUAUGUCUAGCCAACAAAUUUACUGCAAAGGCAAUGUCUUUUCUAGUACAAUUUGCGAGGUACAUUAGUGCUCUUAUGGCAUUAAGGUAUACACUUAUGACAUUAUGUCUUGUGUACAUAUUUGCAAGACUUUUAGCGGCUUUUCUAGUGGUCCAUUUCUGGACUUACUUGUAUAUUUACCAAUUAUCCCGAUCACAAACAAGGGCACGUUCAUAUUUAAAUACACACAUUGCUUCUGAUAGCUGAAGCAUAAGGAACAAACAUUAUCUAAUUAGUACAUAAUGGUUCCUUGGACACUAAAAUGUCCACCUUUGUUGCCCUUAACUUUAGUAGCAGGUGCGAUAGAGUAAUACCACGGAAUAUUUUCUUUCGUACUCUAUUGACGUAUGUCGUCAUAAUAGAACUUUGACUCCUUCUGGACCUAUAUCUUGGGGAAACUCGAUACAAACAAAGUAUAAGGCAUCACCAUGAUCCUUUAUGUCGUAAAGAGAAGAUAGAAAUUUCUUGACCUGCCAAAAAAAUUCCAUCUUCGCAAGGUAGUAAACUUAAUCCCCCUCGUUUUAUAGUAUGAGUGCCCCAAUGCUCUUCUUAUUUCAGAAUUGAAUUUCUUGAGGCAACAUACCUUAUGUUAACUUCAUAUAUCUGACGAAACCUUACGGUUCAGUCAUACACUACAUUCUUAACUUAGUCAACACAAUAGCAUGUUAUAAUGAUAACCCAAGCAUCACAAUAACUCGCCAAGGAAAAUCUAUUGAGUUUCAUAUGUCAUUAGAGCUCGUUAUCACGCAAGCCUCUAAGAUGAUCAUUCACACACAUUAUCAAUCACAGGGUAAUUGUUAAGUCUCAACAUUAAGGAGACAACAUUAUGAGCAUCACAAAAACAUCAAGCAUGUAUUAUCCAUGCAAUGAGAUGAAUCAAAGAGAUGCUUAAUCCAUAUUCAUAAAUAACACAUGAAAAUAAUCAACGUUGGUCAGAAUAGCAUCAUAUGCCAUCAUAACAUUUUUUUAUUAAAUCUCUAGUCAAAACUUCUCAUCAGUUCCAUUUUGACCAGAGAGACAUAAAAUCACAUAAUUAUGAGCAAGAACUUUGGCUAAAUUAAUAGCUAACAUGAAUUAACAUAAAGUGACAACAUAAAACCAUGUUUGCCAUCAUACACAAUGAUACCUUUUGUCACUAAAGUUGAUACCGAUAAUAACAGUGAACAUAAGUGUGAAAAAUAUCAUUAAAAUUCCCAAUGACAUAAAUGAAAAGGACAUGGAAUUAACAUAAAAAUAUACAUGUCAUUGCCACUGAGUAAACACCAAAAUUGAAAUUUAUAGUGAAAAAUGACAUUAAAAUUAUCGUCAGGAUAUGAUAAGAUUUUCCAAAUAAUAAAUCUGAACAUAAAUUUACAUAAGGAUUCACAUAUAGGGAUGGCAAUGGGUAGGGUAUGGGCGGGUACAACCUCCAAACCCAUACCCAUAGAAACUUUCUAUACCCACCCACUUCAAUACCCAUGGGCAUAAAUUGAUACCCAUGCCCAUACCCAUCGGGUAUCCUGUAACCAAUGGGUAUCCAUUGGGUACCAUAUAUAGCAUUUAAAUUUUGAUUUUUUUUAGAGAAAUGAGUCUGAAAUUCAAGUGAUAUGGACGGUCAUUAUGGCACCAACAUAGUCUCCUCCGAUGGUGGCUUCUUGGAGGCAUCAAGGGAUUAUGAGCAGCGGUUGGUGGAAGCCCGACGUAGUGGGAAUGAGCAGCUGGAAUUGGGGGUCACUGGGUCGAGAGUUUAGAGGAGUCCGAUGGCGAUGAGUCAAGAUUUCAUUGUUUCAAGAAGUUAUAUAUAUAGGACGUCAGAGGAGUGUCGAGCAGGCGAUUGCAGGCCUAUGACCUAUGGCUGGUUUAGAGAAUACAAGAUUUAGGGUUGGGCCAUAGGAGUUAGAUGCUUACCCCACAUGUCAUAGGAAUAAUUUGGAUUUAUUAAUUUCUUUUGGGUAUCCAUUGGGUUACCCAUGGGCGCAAUUGAAUACCCAUGCCCUACCCAUAGAUUUUGCGGGUAUGGAUACCCAUUACCCGUGGGUACAAUAUCUUUCCAAGUCAUGCCCAUGCCCAUUGUUUUGCCCAUGGACAUAAAUAUUAAUUGCAUAAAAAUAGUCCUGUCAACUAAACAUCAAUGUGUGUGCAACUAGACUACAUUGCCGCGCCAACUAAGCAUAUGUUUGUGCAACUAGUGUCCUGCCAACUAAACAUCAAUGUGUGUGCAACUAGACUAAACUACAAGCCAACUGAGCAUAUGCCAACUAAACAUCAAUGUGUGUGCAACUAGACUAAACUACAAGCCAACUGAGCAUAUGUGUGUGCAACUAGUCUUCCUGCCAACUAAACAUCAAUGUGUGUGCAACUAGACUACAUUACAAGCCAACUAAACAUCAAUGUGUGUGCAACUAGACUACAUUACAAGUGGAGGUUGAACAUCGACUUUCUCGGGGCAAUAGACUAGUUGCACAUCAAAGUUGUCGUGGUUGCUAGGUUGCAACCUCAUACGAAUGUGCAGCUCCAAACAUUAGUUUUGGAAAAAGUUGCACGAUGUAGUACUAAAGUUGCACAAUAUAUCAUCAAAGUUGCAUAAAAAAAUUUGUUGUAACAUACCCAUAUGGGAUCUAGUUUCAAAGAUCUCGUCACGAAGAACCCAACGAUGAAGACGGAUUUGAAUUCCGACAUGUGGUUUGAAAGAUAUGACUUUUUAAAAAUUGAAGAUCCGGAAUAAAUACACGUGAAUCUGUUUUGUUGUCCAUCAGAUAUAAUAAGUUUGACUGCAUUUAAUGAUCAAUCACAUGCACUAGCAAACAAAUCCUACACAUGCAUGUGUGUGGCAGAGCGCGGCCCUCGUUUUCUCCAGAAGGUGCGCGUGCACUUCGAAGAUUUUAGGGAAAUUUUUUGGCCCAAAAUGUUUUUUUACCCACGGUUAGGCCAAGCUCAGCAGCUAAAACACUUUUUUUUUGAGAAUUAGCAGCUAAAACACUUAAAAAGAAAAAAAC